rnacentral:lncRNA from 1 species
UCACCUUAUAAUUGUGCAUUAAACAUAACCUUAUGAGUACUCAGAAUUUUGCUAUCAUUACCGAAUGUAUCCCCAAACAAUCCCGUCCAUCAAUCAUAUCAACAUAGGAUCAAAGCGGCUUUCGCUACUUUCAUGUAGCUAAACCCAUCAAUGGUCACGUAUAUCAAUAUAACCGAAUGACAUGGAUCAAGUAUGGAUGUGUAGCAUGGAAAUUUCAUGUAAUGUGAUCUGUAACAUGCCUAUUUCCAACUGGUCCACCUUAAUACCUUAGUGAGAUCAUUUUAAACAAGUUCAGAGAUAAUUAACCAAAUAACUUUAUAACUGAAAAUAACUUUAACUUUAAACCGUAUCCAAAAUAACAGUACAUGUGUCCAAUAUGAAAAGCAAAAAAUGCAAACUCCCACUGAAACUAGAUAUCCUCAAGAGACAUUACACCCAUAUGAGCUGUGUGCUCAUGAAAGACCUUGGGUAUCAAUCCCUUAGUAAGCGGAUCCGCAACCAUGGAGUUUGUCCCAAUAUGCUCUAUUGACACCUGUCCACUCUGAACUCUUUCUUUAAC